UACGGGGGGGCAAGCGUUGUUCGGAAUUACUGGGCGUAAAGCGCGUGUAGGCGGCUUUUCAAGUCGAGUGUGAAAUCCCCCAGGCUUAACCUGGGAACUGCGCUCGAUACUGUUGAGCUAGAGUGUGGAAGGGCUACUGGAAUUCCUGGUGUAGCGGUGAAAUGCGCAGAUAUCAGGAGGAACACCGGUGGCGAAGGCGGGUCUCUGGGCAACAACUGACGCUGAGGAGCGAAAGCGUGGGGAGCGAACAGG
rnacentral:rRNA from 1 species